rnacentral:rRNA from 1 species
AAGCGUCCAUAGCGACGGCGGAGUUCGGCACCUCGAUGUCGGCUCACCUUAGCGCGGGGCUGGAGAAGGUCCCAAGCGUUUGGCUGUUCGCCAAUUAAAAAGGUACGCGAGCUGGGUUCAAACCGUGCAGCAUCUUUAGACGAGGCAACACCUCGUCUAGGAGAUUGCACGGUUUGAACCCCGAGGAAGUGUUAGCUGCGUGAGACGCAGUGUGCGAAUGACAAAAUCACGGCGGCUUCUUAUAGGAAUAUAAGGAGACAAAUCAACUGAUAUCGGUGGAACCCAUAAUGCAAUGGGCAAUACCGAGGGAAGUUUGUGAGCUGUAAUAAGGAAUCAGGUGGGAGUAUUCGCUUUGAAAGCUGCGUUAUGCGCAGGACAAAACUAAAAAGCGGAGAACAUGUCGGAGUCCAAACCUCCAACCACCAGCCCUUAGCGAUGGAAACAUCGCUCCUUAUUACAGCUCACGAAUACCCGUAGAGACUGAAUGUUGAUAUUCCAGAACGGAAUAAGUUACAGUCCGAUCCUUCCGGUAACGGAAGUAAACUAGAUGCGUGAGACAGGUUGGUCUCCUAUCUACUACAGGCGUUGAGUAUUGAGGAGGGUCGUCCCUAGUACGAGAGGACCGGGAUGAACUGACCUCUGGUCUACGAGCUGUCCUGCCAAGGGCACCGCUCGGUAGCUAUGUCGGGUUGCGAUAACCGCUGAAAGCAUAUAAGCGGGAAGCGUGCUUCAAGAUUAGUACUCGUUAUGAGACUCCUAGAAGACUACUAGGUUGAUAGGCACUAGGUGUAAGUCCCGCGAGGGAUUGAGCCGAGGUGUACUAAUAAGUCCAGUCUCUUGUGCGG